rnacentral:rRNA from 1 species
AUUGAACGCUGGCGGCAGGCCUAACACAUGCAAGUCGAACGAGGGGCGGACGGGUGAGUAAUGUCUGGGAAACUGCCCGAGGGAGGGGGCAAACUACUGAACAAGGUAGAUAAUACCGCAUACCCUCAGAUGUGCCCAUAUGGGAAUAGCGAGUGGGGGGGGUAAGGGCUCACCUAGGCGACGAUCACUAGCUGGUCGGAGAGGAUGACCAGCCACACUGGAACUGAGACACGGUCCAGACUCCUACGGGAGGCAGCAGUGGGGAAUAUUGCACAAUGGGCGCAAGCCUGAUGCAGCCAUGCAGCGUGUAUGAAGAAGGCCUUCGGGUUGUAAAGUACUUUCAGCGAGGAGGCGUUACUCGCAGAAGAAGCACCGGCUAACUCCGUGCCAGCAGCCGCGGUAAUUC